ACCAACCAUACACAAAGACAGGAUGCAAACAAAGCAGUCUGCGAUGGAGUUUCAGCGUGGAUCGAGUACCUAAACACGACAGGAUUUCGUGUGUGCGUCAAGGAACUCUACACCAAUCAAUACGAACCAAUGACAAUCAGCUACUUGGUAUUGGCAGAUAUAUGUGAUCCAGGAUAGAGAUACUUCGAUGGAGUUUGUUUUCAGACCAGCUCUUCGUG